GCAGUAGUAGCUCAGUUCUGAGAGCACCAGCCUUGUAAGCUGGGGGCCGGGGAAUAGCCACCCCCUACUGCAUU
rnacentral:tRNA from 1 species